rnacentral:tRNA from 1 species
CGCGGUCGUCGCCCGAGGAAUGGCGCGGGCCUUCGUACGGCUCGUACGUGGCCUCGGGCGCCUCGGACCGCGUC